AGCGAACGCUGGCGGCAGGCUUGACACAUGCAAGUCAAACGCCAUCUUCGGAUGGAGUGGCAGUCGGGUGAGUAACGCGUGGAAACAUACCUUUUGCUUCGGAAUAUUCCCGGGAAACUGGGAGCAAUACCGAAUACGCCCUGAGGGGGAAAGAUUUAUCGGCAAAAGAUUGGUCCGCGUUAGAUUAGGUAGUUGGUAGGGUAAUGGCCUACCAAGCCUACGAUCUAUAGCUGGUCUGAGAGGAUGAUCAGCCACAUUGGGACUGAGACACGGCCCAAACUCCUACGGGAGGCAGCAGUGGGGAAUAUUGGACAAUGGGCGAAAGCCUGAUCCAGCCAUGCCGCGUGAAUGAUGAAGGCCUUAGGGUUGUAAAAUUCUUUCACCGGGGACGAUAAUGACGGUACCCGGAGAAGAAGCCCCGGCUAACUUCGUGCCAGCCGCCGCCGUAA
rnacentral:rRNA from 1 species